rnacentral:siRNA from 1 species
GAACCGUAAAGUUCAGCCAUUUGC